CAGCGGUGCUGAUUAGGGGUUGUUCUUACUCUCCCUUGCAAUUAUUUUGUACUUGUAGGGGUGCAUGUAGGCACGGUCCUUGUGAUGCGGUACGUGAUGGUGUGUGAGUGGUAUUUGGUUUGUGUGGUUGGCGGGCUCUUUGCUUGUGCAUUGGACCGUUCACCAACAUACCUUUUCAUUGUAUGCUGCAAGUGCACCAUUUUGCCUUGGGCGACGUGUGGUCCCUAUGUUGGAUUCCGAUUAACGGUAUUGUUGUUGUCCCUUUAAAGAGUGAUAUUCGCUCUACGUCCGUAAAAGGAGGUCGAGCGGACCAUGAAACUUGACUCGUUAUCCUCCUGUUUUGUGAAAACAAGCAUGAUAGGGUUGGAUUAUGAUCUCAAGUUGGGCCCUAGGAUACAGAAAGUUGUGUGGGAGUUGAUGUAAAAACGUCGCAAACCCAAAGCGUUGGUACGCUAAUGAUGGAUGACAUUCGAGUGUGUUGUGAUUCUUUCAUUCUAGAAAGGUUCAUGCUCGCCGAUGUCGACCAAGGAGUGCUACCUGGUUGAUCCUGCCAGUAGUCAUAUGCUUGUCUCAAAGAUUAAGCCAUGCAUGUGUAAGUAUGAACUAAUUCAGACUGUGAAAC
rnacentral:misc_RNA from 1 species